UGCCUUUUGUUUCCCUGGGGAGUGGUUUGGCGUUGCACCUGUGUGUCUAGCGUCAGUGAGCGCUGAUGCACGGAGCUGGUGAGUUCCGUUUGUGUCUCUCUCCGUUAGAUUUUUAUGUUAACCCCUUGUUUGUUGCCCUUGAACGGCUGUGGUGGUUCACACUGCUUUGCGACGUGCUUUUAGGCACGCGGGAGAAACUCUGAGUGGAGAGUGAUAUCCCGGAUUGUGUGUGACGCCCGUGUUGUUUUGUCUCCUUUGGAAAGAAUAAACCUCCAGUA